rnacentral:rRNA from 1 species
GACGAACGCUGGCGGCGUGCCUAAUACAUGCAAGUAGAACGCACAGUUUAUACCGUAGCUUGCUACACCAUAGACUGUGAGUUGCGAACGGGUGAGUAACGCGUAGGUAACCUGCCUGGUAGCGGGGGAUAACUAUUGGAAACGAUAGCUAAUACCGCAUAAUAUUAAUUAUUGCAUGAUAAUUAAUUGAAAGGUGCAAUUGCACCACUACCAGAUGGACCUGCGUUGUAUUAGCUAGUAGGUGAGGUAACGGCUCACCUAGGCGACGAUACAUAGCCGAACUGGAGGGGGGGUCGGCCAAACUGGGACUGAGACAAGGCCCAGACUCCCUCGGGAGGCAAGAGGAGGGAAUCUUCGGGAAGGGACGAAAGUCCUACCGAGCAACGGCGGGGGAGGGAAAGAGGUUUUCGGAUCUUAAAGCUCUGUUUUAAGGGAAGAACGGGUGGGGGAGGGGAAAGUUCCCACUGGGACGGUAUCUUAACAGAAAGGGACGGCUAACUACGU